rnacentral:rRNA from 1 species
UACAGAGGCCUCGAGCGUUGUUCGGAAUUACUGGGCGUAAAGAGUGUGUAGGCGGUGUUCCCAGUCUGUUGUGAAAUCUCCCGGCUUAACUGGGAGGGUGCAGCGGAAACUAGAAUGCUAGAGGGUGGGAGAGGUAAGCGGAAUUCCUGGUGUAGCGGUGAAAUGCGUAGAUAUCAGGAGGAACACCUGUGGUGUAGACAGCUUACUGGACCACUUCUGACGCUGAGACACGAAAGCGUGGGUAGCAAACAGG